rnacentral:rRNA from 1 species
CCUACGGGCGGCAGCAGUGAGGAAUAUUGGUCAAUGGGCGCGAGCCUGAACCAGCCAAGCAGCGUGAAGGAUGACUGCCCUACGGGUUGUAAAUUUCUUUUAUAAAGGAAUAAAGUGAGGCACGUGUGCCUUUUUGUAUGUACUCUAUGUAUAUGCAUCGGCUAACUCCGUGCCAGCAGCCGCGGUCAUACGGAGGAGCCGAGCGUUAUCCGGAUUUAUUGGGUUUAAAGGGAGCGUAGAUGGGUUGUUAAGUCAGUUGUGAAAGUUUGCGGCUCAACCGUAAAAUUGCAAUUGAUACUGGCAGCCUUGAGUACAGUAGAGGUAGGCGGAAUUCGUGGUGUAGCGGUGAAAUGCUUAGAUAUCACGAAGAACUCCGAUUGCGAAGGCAGCUUACUAGACUGCCACUGACAUUGAUGCUCGAAAGUGUGGGUAUCAAACAGGAUUAGAUACCCUUGUAGUC